rnacentral:rRNA from 1 species
UACGGGGGGAGCAAACGUUGUUCGGAAUCACUGGGCGUAAAGCGCACGUAGGCGGAUUGUUAAGUCAGGGGUGAAAUCCUGGAGCUCAACUCCAGAACUGCCUUUGAUACUGGCGAUCUCGAGUCCGGGAGAGGUGAGUGGAACUGCGAGUGUAGAGGUGAAAUUCGUAGAUAUUCGCAAGAACACCAGUGGCGAAGGCGGCUCACUGGCCCGGUACUGACGCUGAGGUGCGAAAGCGUGGGGAGCAAACAGG